rnacentral:rRNA from 1 species
GUGCAGCAGUCGCGAAUACUCUGCAAUGCGCGAAAGCGCGACAGGGUUACCCCGAGUGUCGUCCGCUGAGGACGACUUUUCCCCAGUGUAGAUAGCUGGGGGAAUAAGGAGAGGGCAAGUCUGGUGUCAGCCGCCGCGGUAAUACCAGCUCUCCGAGUGGUGGGGACGCUUAUUGGGCCUAAAGCGAUCCGUAGCCGGUCUAACAAGUCCCCUGUUAAAUCCAGCGAUUCAAUCGCUGGACUGCAAGGGAUACUGUUAGACUAGGGGGCGGGAGAGGCCGACGGUAUUCCCGGGGUAGGGUGAAAUCCUAUAAUCCCGGGAGGACC